rnacentral:rRNA from 1 species
UAGGGAAUCUUCGGCAAUGGACGGAAGUCUGACCGAGCAACGCCGCGUGAGUGAAGAAGGUUUUCGGAUCGUAAAGCUCUGUUGUAAGAGAAGAACGAGUGUGAGAGUGGAAAGUUCACACUGUGACGGUAUCUUACCAGAAAGGGACGGCUAACUACGUGCCAGCAGCCGCGGUAAUACGUAGGUCCCGAGCGUUGUCCGGAUUUAUUGGGCGUAAAGCGAGCGCAGGCGGUUAGAUAAGUCUGAAGUUAAAGGCUGUGGCUUAACCAUAGUACGCUUUGGAAACUGUUUAACUUGAGUGCAAGAGGGGAGAGUGGAAUUCCAUGUGUAGCGGUGAAAUGCGUAGAUAUAUGGAGGAACACCGGUGGCGAAAGCGGCUCUCUGGCUUGUAACUGACGCUGAGGCUCGAAAGCGUGGGGAGCAAACAGGAUUAGAUACCCUGGUAGUCCACGCCGUAAACGAUGAGUGCUAGGUGUUAGACCCUUUCCGGGGUUUAGUGCCGCAGCUAACGCAUUAAGCACUCCGCCUGGGGAGUACGGCCGCAAGGUUG